UUUCUACAGUGUGUGUGUGUGUAUACAUCGAUUAUGCUUUCUUCAGGUGGGUGUGUGUAUACGCAUUGCUUUCUCAGGUGUGUGUGUGUAUACAGCAGUUGCUUCUCCGUUGUGUGUGUGUGUGUAUACAGUGAUAUGCUUUCUCAGGUGUGGUGUAUCUGCAGUGAUAUGUUUUAUCAGGUGUGUGGUGUGUGUAUACAGCGAUAUGCUUUUCUCAGGUGUGUGUGUGUGUGUAUACAGUGAUAUGCUUUCUCAGGUGUGUGUAUACAGCGGUAUGCUUUCUCAGGUGUGUGUGUGUGUGUUACAGCAGAUAUGCUUUCUCAGGUGUGUGUGUUGUAUACACGAUUGCUUUCUCAGGUGUGUGUGUGUAUACAGCGAUAUGCUUUCUCAGGUGUGUGUGUGUAUACAGCAUAUGCUUUUCUCAGGUGUGUGUGUGUCUGCAGCGAUCUGCUUUCUCAGGUGGUGUGUGUGUAACGUGAUAUGCUUUCUCAGGUGUGUGUGUUGUAUACAAGCAAUAUGCUUUCUCAGGUGUGUGUGUGUUACAGCGUCUGCUUUCUCAGGUGGUGUGUGUGUAUACCGUGUAUGCGUUUCUCAGGUGUGUGUGUAUCUGCAGUGAUAUGUUUUCUCAGGUGUGGUGUGUGUCAUCACGAUAUGUUUUCUCAGGUGGUGUGUGUAUCUGCAUGAUAUGUUUUCUCAGGUGUGUGUGUAUCUGCAGUGAUAUGCUUUCUCAGGUGUGUGUGUAUCUGCAGUGAUAUGCUUUCUCAGGUGUGUGUGUAUCUGCAGUGAUAUGCUUUCUCAAGUGUGUGUGUAUCUGCAGUGAUAUGUUUUCUCAGGUGUGUGUGUGUGUAUACAGCAGUCUGCUUUCUCAGCCCUGGGUCAGACUGAGUGGAGGUUACAAGAAGAGCAGAACAGUCAGGAAGUGAGACUGAUAUCACCAUAGUAAGUAGUGU
rnacentral:lncRNA from 1 species